rnacentral:lncRNA from 1 species
UCUCACUAAAAAUGAUGCAUGUUGAUUCUUUCCAUAUACACAACCUUCAUCUAUAUUAUUAAUGGAAGGUAAGCCAAUAACUAUAUUCUUACCGUGCAAUAACUUCAGUCCAUGAAAGUUUAUGUGCCCUUAUCUUUUAUGCCACAACCAAGAAUUUGAUUUAAUAGUAGCAGCCAAAGUAAAAUCUAUGGAAGAUAUUUAGAGAAGAAACAUUUUAUUUGUAGUCAUAGAAACUUCCACAGGAGACACAUCAGAUUUGGGGGUAGGAAUAACAC